rnacentral:rRNA from 1 species
GAUGAACGCUAGCUACAGGCUUAACACAUGCAAGUCGAGGGGUAGCAGGGUAGCAAUACCGCUGACGACCGGCGCACGGGUGAGUAACACGUAUCCAACCUUCCCAUAACUCGGGGAUAGCCUUUCGAAAGAAAGAUUAAUACCGGAUGGUACUUUUUCAAGGCAUCUUGAGAAAGUUAAAGAUUUAUUGGUUAUGGAUGGGGAUGCGUUCCAUUAGAUAGUUGGUGAGGUAACGGCUCACCAAGUCUUCGAUGGAUAGGGGUUCUGAGAGGAAGGUCCCCCACAUUGGGACUGAGGAACGGACCAAACUCCUACGGGAGGCAGCAGUGAGGAAUAUUGGUCAAUGGGGGAGAGCCUGAACCAGCCAAGUAGCGUGAAGGAUGAAGGUCCUAUGGAUUGUAAACUUCUUUUAUAGUAGAAUAAAGUGAUCCACGUGUGGAUUUUUGUAUGUAUACUAUGAAUAAGGAUCGGCUAACUCCGUGCCAGCAGCCGCCGUAA